CGAUUUAUCUUACUUCCUUUCCCGUGUUAGCUGUGAAAGAAAAAACAUGCCGCUAGCAAAAGAUUUAUUGCACCCUCUGCCCGCUGAGGAGAAGCGUAAGCACAAGCUAAAGCGCCUGGUCCAGCACCCCAACUCCUACUUCAUGGACGUCAAGUGCCCUGGAUGCUACAGAAUUACAACUGUGUUCAGUCACGCACAAGGCGUUGUGGUCUGCGCAGGUUGCGCCACCAUUCUAUGCCAGCCUACUGGAGGACGUGCUAAGCUGACAGAAGGCUGCUCGUUCCGUAGGAAGCCACAGUAAAUGGAUUGCUUCAAAUUGAACCACAAUAUAAUCAUUUUUUAAUAAAAACUCUAAGAAAAAACCAGCAAAUACAACAAAUGUCCAACGAGAGCAGGAUUAGUGGCAGCAGAAGCAGCAUCUGUGUUAUCUAAGUAAAGGUAGUUUUAUAACAACAAUUGUGUUUGAGACACAUCUUGACUACCUAAAUUCAACCCAACACUGGCUAUAAAAUAGAUAAACAUGUAA